CCUUCCUCCUUUCUGCUGUGGUGUUCUCUGUGCCUGCAAUAGAGUAUGCCAGAGAGGACUUGCAACCAACUGACAUCUAGAUGCCAUGCAACCUGGACUUACCCUGGUGCAGCUGCUUCCACUUCAAAAGAGAAAAGGGAGAACUGCUAAGGGCCAAGUUGAUAUGGUGCAGCUGCCUCAGGAAGCCUAGGCUUGUUCAUCUCCUUUUGCAAGCUCUGGCUCCCUGUUAUCUCCGUGUCUCUGCAGCUGUGCUCAUGCUCUCUUCUGGCUGACAGCACGAGAGAAACUCCUAAUUUGCUCAGCUGGACCUGUCACCUCACACAGAACUGAAUAUAUCCCAACAGUUUUUCCAUGUUCAAGUUCACAGAGAAGCUGCUACUGCUGCUGUAGUCCAUGUAGGCCCGGUUGCUGUUCCACUUGACAACAGAAACUGAUUGCUCAUGUGAUGCUGGUUUACAUUUGGGAAUGCAAGAAUUAUAGGACCAUGGGGGUUUCAUGAGAGAUUUCCAAGGAAUGCCUAAGAUGUCGUGAAGCAUCUAGAUGUACAAAAGUCUCUGGAAGCUGCCCCUGAUAUGUUAAGCUAUGUGAGUGAAGCCAAAGUGGCAGUGAAGAUUGCAAGAAGUUACACAUACAAGGAAUUUGGAACCUCUCUGGAGGGAAGCUAAAGGCAACAAGAGCAUCCAGGUCAAAACAUGGACUGUAAACAUUCAGACCACAGGUUCCCCAAGCUCCUUGGAGUUCACAUUGUGUUACUGUGGGCUCCAGAUAUGCGCCACAAAUGUAUAGAAAUUUAUGUGCACCCUUCUGGAUUUCAGUCUUGCUGUGGUCCUAUCCCUCUUUUAUAAGCCCUUAUUUCCUCCCUUUUAGAACAUAAAUGUUUACUCUGUGCCUUUGUAUUUUGAAUUAUGAAAUUUUCUCUCUUAUUUUUACAGGGCUCAUAGCUAACAGUUUGCUUUGAAUCUCAGAGGAAAAUGGAGUUGGACUUUUGAGCAAAGCUGUACUUGCUAAGACCAUGGGGCUGUUGUAGACACACUGCGUGUGCUCUGCAUUAUGAGAUGUACAUGAACCUUUGGAGAGCACAGAUAGCAUCUCAUGUUUUACAUCAUUAGUGUUCCUAAAAGCUCCUAAGUUAUAGUCUUGGACUUGAGUUGAUUAUGCUUUUAGGAGAGGGAAGAAUCUUCAGGAGGUGGAGUCUGAUUGGGAAAGUAGAGAGUAACUUUGAGAAGUAUACUGAGACAAUAGCCUACCUCUCUCUGUCCUCUUCUCUCCUUCUCCUUUUCUUUCUCCUUCCCCUUUUCCUUCUUUCCUCUCCCUCUCUUUGCAUCUCCCUCUAUGCUCCAACUGCCAUGAAGUGAGCAGCUUUGCUCUGCCUUGUGCCUCCCCAUGAGGUUUUGCAGGCCAAUGCAGCAAAGCAAUAGGGCCACAAAACCAUAUACUGAGUACUCUGAAACUGAGCCAAAAUAAAUCUUCCUACUAUA